UACGUAGGGUGCAAGCGUUAAUCGGAAUUACUGGGCGUAAAGCGUGCGCAGGCGGUCUUGCAAGACAGAUGUGAAAUCCCCGGGCUCAACCUGGGAACUGCAUUUGUGACUGCAAGGCUGGAGUGCGGCAGAGGGGGAUGGAAUUCCGCGUGUAGCAGUGAAAUGCGUAGAUAUCGGGAGGAACACCAGUGGCGAAGGCGACUACCUGGCCUGUUCUUGACGCUGAGGCGCGAAAGCUAGGGGAGCAAACGGG
rnacentral:rRNA from 1 species